rnacentral:rRNA from 1 species
UACGUAGGUGGCAAGCGUUGUCCGGAAUUACUGGGUGUAAGGGGCGUGUAGGCGGGGAUUUAAGUCAGAUGUGAAAUUCCGGAGCUCAACUCCGGCGCUGCAUCUGAAACUGAAUUUCUUGAGUGCUGGAGAGGAAAGCGGAAUUCCUAGUGUAGCGGUGAAAUGCGUAGAUAUUAGGAGGAACACCAGUUGCGAAGGCGGCUCUCUGGACUGUAACUGGCACUGAGGCACGAAAGCGUGGGGAGCAAACAGGAUUAGAUA